GGGGAGGCGCAGAGACUGAGCUGCUCAGUGCGCGCUUGUGUCUGUCUGGCUCCCAG
ensembl:miRNA Mir6979 microRNA 6979